rnacentral:rRNA from 1 species
AUGGACAUGGUUAUCGUCCUCUUCCUUCUCCUGCCUUUCGUUGGUGCCGAAUGGCAAGUGUGCGGCAGCAGCGGCAACUACACAUCAAACAGCACCUACCAAGCCAACCUCCUGCUCCUCUCCUCCACCCUUCCCAACAAGGCCGUGUCCAACACCACCAGCCUCUUCGCCACCGCCACCACCGGCGAUGCUCUGGACAUCGUCUACGCCCUCGCGCUCUGCCGUGGGGACACCACCGACGCCUCCGACUGUGAGAGCUGUGUGGCUGCCGCCUUCCCCGAUGCCCAGCAGAUCUGCCCCUACAAUAAGGACGCCACCUUGUACUACGAUGCCUGCAUGCUCAGGUUCUCCAACCAUAAUUUUCUUCUUGCCAACAGCACCGAAGAUCAGAAGAGCUGGAUCACCCUCCGGAACAACCUCAACUUCACCACAGGCGGCGACUCCGCCAAGCACUUGCUGUUGAUGCGUCUCAACAGCACGGCCCAAGCGGCUGCAAACAGCUCGAGGAGGUUCAUCACCUCGCGCUUAGGCGUCGACCUCGUCCCGACGACGGUGUACUGCCUUAUGCAGUGCACGCCCGACCUCACGCCCGACGACUGCGCGGCUUGUUUACAGCUUGUUUUGAAGCAUACGAUCAAGUCCCUAGAUGGAGCGCAAGGUGGUCGAAUUCUCGGGACACGGUGUAGCAUGAGGUACGAGCUAUACCACUUCUACGAAGGGGUCCCCAUGCUUGCAAUUCCGGCCGUCAACAGCACUAGGCCAGCGCCCACGCCCGCUACCAGGUACCCACAUUCCCAGUCACACCCACCAGCUGCGGCGCCUCCCCGGCUGGCGCAGACGACCAUCCAAGAACAGCAGGGACGCAACUCACGCAAGAGGGUGGUGUGGAUUAUUGCUGUGGUGGCUCCACUCCUGUCAAUACUCCUAUGCUUCAUCUGUUCGGUUAUAUGGCUGAGAAGACGAAGAAAAGGAAAGGAAAACUUAAACGAUCAGGUUGCCACCAAUAGACCAGAAGAAGACGAACUUGUCUGGAGAUUGGAGGAGAAGAGUUCAGAGUUCACUCUCUUUGACUUCUCUGAGAUAUUGCAUGCCACACAUAACUUCUCCAAAGAAAACCUACUUGGACAAGGUGGUUUUGGCCCUGUCUACAAGGGCCAAUUACCAGAUGGAAUGCAAAUCGCAGUCAAAAGGCUUGCCUCACAUUCAGGACAGGGUUUUACAGAAUUCAAAAAUGAAGUUGAACUUAUUGCAAAAUUACAACAUAAUAAUCUUGUCAGGCUCUUGGGAUGCUGCAUUAAGGGAGAGGAAAAACUAUUGGUGUAUGAAUAUUUGCCAAAUAAGAGCUUGGACUUCUUUAUAUUUGAAAGAAACAGGACAACUUUUAUUGAUUGGAACAAAAGACGUGUGAUAAUCGAAGGGAUAGCCCAAGGUCUUCUCUAUCUCCACAAGCACUCUCGGCUACGCAUCAUACACAGAGACCUUAAGGCCAGCAACAUUCUCUUGGACCAGGACAUGAAUCCUAAAAUUUCUGAUUUUGGCCUAGCAAAAAUAUUCAGCUCCAAUGAUAGUCAGGGAAGCACAAAGAGGGUAGUAGGAACAUAUGGUUACAUGUCUCCGGAGUAUGCAUCUGAAGGCAUUUACUCAAUCAAAUCAGAUGUGUUCAGCUUUGGCGUGUUACUUCUUGAGAUCCUUAGUGGAAAAAGGAAUUCUGGUUUCUACCAGUACGGAGACUUUCUUAACCUUCUUGGAUAUUCAUGGCAACUCUGGGAAGGACGAACGUGGGUUGAGCUUCUAGAUGCAUCAAUUGUAAAGGAGAUCCAUACAUCAGAUGCUAGGAAGUACAUUAACAUUGCACUGUUGUGUGUACAAGAAAGUGCAGAUGAUCGACCCACCAUGUCAGAUGUCGUUGCAAUGUUAAACAGCGAGAGUGUUAUUCUCCCCGAACCAAAUCAUCCAGGAUACUUCAACCUAAGGGUGUCUAAGACACAUGAAUUUUUUGUCCCAUGUAGUAAUAAUGAUGUAACCAUCACUGAGGAGCCAGAUGGUAGAUAG